GAGAGGCUUCUCUAUUUUUUGGAAAUUAAGGUUCAUUCAGGCAGUUUAGUUAUCACCUUAAUUACUGCAGACAAAAACACAUUUUCCUUCCAAGCUGCCAACCUCGCCCCUCCCAUCCUUCCUCUUGCUCAGUAAGUAAAGAUGGGAAAGUGAAAGCUAGAAAGUCCAUAGCUUGGCCACAGCUUUGGUUUGACCCUUCAAAUUUGGAAGUGGAACAUCUUGACAAAAAGAAUUAUAUCAGCAGUUCUGCUACAGAAAUGAAUGAACAUGAAAAAGCAGAAUUUGUUGAUAGAAACAGGAAAACGUUAAUCCAUGAAGUUUCUGAAGUGCUGGCGAUAGCAGAAGAGCUUGGAGACCUGGU